ensembl:lncRNA
AGAGGAGGAGGGCUGGAAGGGGCCAGGGGAUUUUGAGGGAUGAGGGUACAGAUGCUGGGGCUGGUUAGGAAGACUCCAGUAGGCAAGUGUGAGAUAACUAAGCUUAUGGAGAUGGCGAGUAUGAAACAGACUUACGGAAAACAACAGAGGACUGCAGAGAAGAUAUGGAGGCAAGAUUAUUUUGUGGUGGAUGUACAAUUCAGUAGGAGGCCCCAGGGCCAGGUUGUUUUAGGUAGAAACUUUUCAGAUGGAAAGGAGGAGAGGGAAGGCUAUGAUUUCCAGAGAGAGGAUGGUUUUGGAAAGCUCUCUUUGGUGGGCAGGAGGGACUUGAAAGACACAGGAAGUGUGAGAGGGCUGUUCUUUGCUUCCCAUUUCACCUCAUCUGACCAAUUCCCCUCUGUACUUUCCUGUGAGCAGCUGACUGCCUGGGAGAGAAAUGCACUUCUUUAUUCAGUUCCUAUUUCUUCUACCACGCUUCAGGUUGCAACGUGCCAUAUGCUGGGUGUAUAUUUUCUAUAUAGAGAUCCAUUCCUUCGCUGGAAAGUCUUAGGUACCUCCGGAUUACAGAAGCUUGAAAACCACAAGUGUGGUUAUAGCCUGCUCCAUUUGUACUUCAGAGGUAUCUGUUCUGACCAAAACCUAUGUUUGAUGUGAUAUGCUUGGACGGACAAACAAAACCACAGGUUAGAAAAAUACACCUACAGAUAUGUUGCCAGGUAGUCACUCCCAGAUGAAAUACUGAACAUUGAAGGACCCUACAUGUGACCUGAGCAGUAGGUGUCAAGCUGACUGUUAUGUUAGCACAACGUCUUUGGCUAUAUGGGGUCACAUCAAGCACCUGGCAAGACCUAUGACAGCCUUCCUUGAAAGCAGCGAUGGAUUCACACAUCCUGACCUCUUCAAGAAUGGCCUUGUGAGCUGAUAAAGGACAGGUGGCACCAGCAGUGAGGAGGAAACAGCAGACUGAAGAAAAAAAAAAGAAAUAAGGCUCUAUCAAACACCUACAAAGUAUAAUUGGACAUGACAGCCCAUGUCAGAGUUCAGCAAUGAAAACUGAAAUAUCCUCUAUCGGUCACAGACUCAGAUGAGCCUUUGGUUUGUGCUGUUCUUGCAGAAUGAAGACCCUGCUUCAAAGUUGUGCUGCCUGCUGCAGAAAUGAAACAGAGCAAAGGAGUGGAUAUGUGAAAAUUUAACAACUAAGAGAGCCAAGAGAGACUCCUUGCAUGGGUGAGAAGGGAACUGAAAAUGCCAUUUUUCAGGGUUCAUCAGUACUGAAGGAAGACAACAGACAAGAUCUGCUAGGGCUUGCUACGGUUGAACUUUGGGAUGCUUUCCUUUGGAAAUAAAUUCAUAAGUGGCUUGACAUGGAGGUGAACACUUUGGCACAAUAGACUCGAAUUAAGCGCCACAGCCUUGAAGAGUUAUAUGAUGUUACGAAAUGAAAAUUCCUCCAUACUGAACAGAUGACUUAUUCUAAUAAAAGAACCUUUUCUCACAGCACAGUUUUUCACCGUUGUAGAUUCUGUAAUUGCGAAGAGAACUUCAAGGACAAAAACAAACAAACAAACAAACAAAACUCCUUCAAAAGAAGUGGGUGUUCAGUGAUGAAGAAGCUAAAGGUAUUCAUAAUGUGAAGUGUCCUGUCUUUUUCGACUCUUGCACUGAAGGAUGUGAUUGUUGUUAUUUCUUUUUUCAUGUAUCUAAUUGCAAAGUCAGAGGAACAGGGUUUAACUUGUCUUUUAUUUAAAUUAGUAAACUAAAAUGAUAUAUAGAAAUGUGGAAAAUUCUGUUCGAACAGUCUUGCAUCAGUAGGUUUCCUGAAAUAGAAGGGGAAAUAGAUUUCAUUUUUUCUCAUUCCACACUCAUUGCUGAUCUAAAGAAUCUACGAACUUAAGCUGAGUGUAAAGCUAAAAUUGCUUUGUUAUAUUUAUACACUGAGUAAAAAGAUUGUUUAUUGCUGUGAACCAGAUGGCCUUGAUGUAAACAAAAUUCAACAAAUGAAUAUGCUGAUAAGUGAAGUGAAGCAUGACACUUCAACACUGGAAAUGAGUAAUAAUUCAAGAUGAAGGUGUUUUGUGGUGUGCUCCAAUGUUUGUUUCAGGUCGAGGGGAGAAUGAGUUUGCAUUGCUAAAUCCUUGACACAAACACAUCUGCCAACUUCAGCCAGCACUUAAUGGCAGAGAAAGAAAAGGGCAGAUCUGUACCAGAGAGAUAUUCUGGGCUGUUGAUGAUAGACUGCCAUGUGGCCAAGCUGAGUUGUUGGGCUCCCUGGGGACAAUAUAAUGUGUUACCUAAAAGACUCCAGUUCUCCAAUGGUAUUGUCUCAUUUAGUCCGAAAAUGAGCAUACUUCUGAAAUGAAACAAGAUUAUAAACAAUUUGUUCAGUGUUUUUUUUUUUUUUUUUCACGUUUCUGUGUUGCUUCUACAAGAUUGCAUCUUCUUCC